rnacentral:rRNA from 1 species
AUUGAACGCUAGCGGGAUGCCUUACACAUGCAAGUCGAACGGAGUGGCGAACGGGUGAGUAAUGUAUCGGAACGUGCCCAGUAGCGGGGGAGAACUACGACAAAGCGUAGCUGAUACCGCAUACUAUUGGAGCGGCCGAUAGCGGAUUAGCUAGUUGGUGGGGGAACGGCUAACCAAGGCGACGAUCCGGAGCCGGUUUGAGAGGACGACCAGCCACACUGGGACGGAGACACGGCCCAGACUCCUACGGGAGGCAGCAGUGGGGAAGUUUGGACAAUGGGGGAAACCCUGAUCCAGCCAUCCCGCGUGUACGAUGAAGGCCUUCGGGUUGUAAAGCACUUUUGGCAGGAAAGCGGUACCUGCAGAAGAAGCACCGGCUAACUACGUGCCAGCAGCCGCGGUAAUAC